ensembl:snoRNA
GUACACUUUUAAGGCUGACACAGUCCUUUAAGAGACUUAACACUGAAGGGUAAAUUUCCAUAAAGUCCCAAGUAAGACUGCUGUUUGGAUCUUGUCUGAAGUGACAGUU